rnacentral:lncRNA from 1 species
UAAGAAGAAGAAGAGGUGUCGGAGGAAGAAGAUUCUGCUCGCAUCCUUGACUCGUGCCAGUGACCUGAGUGACGUCAUGCGUAUGUCAACGGGGAGAGUCAGCAGCGACCGACGUCGGGGAUCGCACUCCACGCUGUACCGCAAUGGUUAUAUAUAGCCAAGCUGUGGUCCCAUUUUAUUACGUUUGGUUUUUUUCGUCUCGGAGUUAUUCGGCCUUUCCAAACGAAGAUGUGUGCCACAAAUGGUAGAGCAGAGAAGGCUCUCGAGUUAACCGUGUGAGUCGGUCGAACGUGGUAUGAGUGAGAAUAUUUCUGCAUUUUGCAGAGCUGCCAUUUGGUCGCCAUUGCUCAUGGCGAGCUUGGUUCGAUAUGAGGAUUCCGAGAGUGGCGAUUCUGAAGCGGAUGCCGUCGAGACACAUUUUCCUCGGGCUGCCUUGUCAUCACCCUCCUCUCCUUGUCGUAACAAGGCACGGGUUUCUGCAUCGCGUUCGGUUUCCCGCUCUCCCUCACGCUCUUAUGGCCACAAGCAUAACAGCAGACAGAGUGGCACAAGGCGGACGAGCCGCAGUAAGGAGGCCAGCAGGAGGACAGGAGGUGGGGAGAAGGACAAGGAGAGGUUAAGAUAUUCACACAGGGAAAGAGACAGGCAUCGUGAUAAACACUACAGAGACAGAGACAGAGACAGGCACAGAUCACGUAGUCAGAAUCGAAGGUCCAGAUCAAGGGUGCAUAGGUCAAAGUCUGUCCAUCGACAUUCAAAACCACGUAAGGCACGCUCUCACCAUCACCAUCACCACCAUCACCACCGCCAUCACAGCAGCAGCCGGUCUCCUUCUUCCCCAUCUCCUCAUGCAUCUCCUUCUCCCAAAGCUUCAUUGGUUCAAAACUCCUCUUCUCCUUCUCCUCCUGCUACAGCCCCUCCACCUGCAGCAAAACGUGUUCGACAGUCAAGGUAACUAACUACACCUUGGUUUUGUUUUCAAAAGUAACAUGCAUUUCAUAGAGUAAUUUAACAGUUAAAAUUUGAUUUCGACGAAUGUACAUACUUCACUUGUCUUUUGUCGAGAUCCAUUGUAUUUCAUGAUUUAUGUCCGUGUCUCCAUCUCGAUCUGGUUCUCACUCUCACUAUAUCUCUAUCUGGUUCUCACUCUCACUAUAUCUCUAUCUGGUUCUCACUCUCACUAUAUCUCUGGGGGGGGGGGGGGGGGGGGGGGGG